rnacentral:rRNA from 1 species
AGAGUUUGAUCCUGGCUCAGGAUGAACGCUAGCUACAGGCUUAACACAUGCAAGUCGAGGGGCAGCAUUAACGAAAGCUUGCUUUUGUUAGAUGGCGACCGGCGCACGGGUGAGUAACGCGUAUCCAACCUGCCAUAUACAGAGGGAUAGCCUUGCGAAAGUAAGAUUAAUACCUCAUGGUUUAUGUUUGCCGCAUGGCGGAUAUAAUAAAGAUUUAUCGGUAUAUGAUGGGGAUGCGUCCCAUUAGAUAGUCGGCGGGGUAACGGCCCACCGAGUCGACGAUGGGUAGGGGUUCUGAGAGGAAGGUCCCCCACAUUGGAACUGAGACACGGUCCAAACUCCUACGGGAGGCAGCAGUGAGGAAUAUUGGUCAAUGGACGAGAGUCUGAACCAGCCAAGUAGCGUGCAGGAAGACGGCCCUAUGGGUUGUAAACUGCUUUAGUAUGGGAAUAAAGUCAUCCACGAGUGGAUGUUUGCAUGUACCAUAAGAAUAAGGACCGGCUAAUUCCGUGCCAGCAGCCGCGGUAAUACGGAAGGUCCGGGCGUUAUCCGGAUUUAUUGGGUUUAAAGGGAGCGUAGGCGGAUUUUUAAGUCAGUUGUGAAAGUUCACGGCCCAACCGUGAAAUUGCAGUUGAAACUGAAAGUCUUGAGUGCACGCAGGGAUGCUGGAAUUCGUGGUGUAGCGGUGAAAUGCUUAGAUAUCACGAAGAACUCCGAUCGCGAAGGCAUGUGUCCGGAGUGCAACUGACGCUGAGGCUCGAAAGUGUGGGUAUCAAACAGGAUUAGAUACCCUGGUAGUCCACACAGUAAACGAUGAAUACUCGCAGUUGGCGAUAUACGGUCAGCUGCCAAGUGAAAACAAUAAGUAUUCCACCUGGGGAGUACGCCGGCAACGGUGAAACUCAAAGGAAUUGACGGGGGCCCGCACAAGCGGAGGA